rnacentral:sRNA from 1 species
GCCGGGAGUGGUAGCCCAUGCCUGUAAUCCCAGCAGCUUGGGAGGCUGAGGCAGGAGGUUGUGAGUUCAAAGCCAGCCUCAG